UAAACAUACAGAUAACAUGAAUCUAAAUACACUGGCUUUCUUUUCCUUUCUGCUGGGAUGAAUCUAUUGCAUUAGAAGCCAUCAGAGAAUGGAGAUUUCAACAGAAUGGAAAAAAGUGUACCUGGCACAUCACAGCAUGAUGGGAGUUACCUCCAAACAAGCAGCCUGCAAAGUACAGCAUGGGUGAACUGCAACUAUCCUUUACAUUAUGAACAAUGCAGACAACACUAACUCUUGACUUUCCUGGCAUUGGUGAAUCCAUGAAACAGAUG